GACAGAGGUGCCGAGCGUUAGGCGGAAUCACUGGGCUUAAAGCGUGUGUAGGCGGACUUCUAAGUACCUUGUGAAAUCCCACGGCUCAACCGUGGAACUGCUUGGUAUACUGGUUGUCUUGAGCCACUUAGGGGCAGUCGGAACAGACGGUGGAGCGGUGAAAUGCGUAGAUAUCGCUUGGAACGCCGAAGGUGAAAACAGGCUGCUGGGGUCGCGCCGACGCUGAGACACGAAAGCCAGGGGAGCAAACGGGG
rnacentral:rRNA from 1 species